UAGCAGCAGGGUCAGCAGUAUUGGGCUUCACCAUUACUAAGCCAGGGCAAUGAGUACAACUUCACAAGUCCAGCUCCGCUUAGCUCACACCAGUAAUUAGAUGUUUUAACACGUCAUGGCAAUGAUAUCUAAC